GGUCGGUUAGCUCAGUCAGUUAGAGCGUGGUGCAGAUAACACCAAGGUCACGGGUUCAAUCCCCGUUCAGUCCC
rfam:Apaloderma vittatum contig24758, whole genome shotgun sequence.